CGUGGGUGAUGAAGGUCUUCGGAUUGUAAAGCCCUGUUUUCUGGGACGAUAAUGACGGUACUAGAGGAGGAAGCCACGGCUAACUACUUGCCAACAGCCGCGGUAAUACUUAGGUGGCGAGCGUUGUCCGGAUUUACUGGGCGUAAAGGGUGCGUAAGCGGAUGUUUAAGUGGGAUGUGAAAUCCCCGGGCUUAACCUGGGGGCUGCAUUCCAAACUGGAUAUCUAGAGUGCAUGAUAGGAAAGCGGAAUUCCUAGUGUAGAGGUGAAAUGCGUACAGAUUAGGAAGAACACCUUGGCGAAGGCGGCUUUCUGGACUGUAACUGACGCUGAGGCACGAAAGCGUGGGUAGCAAACAGGAUUAGAUACCCUGGUAGUCCACGCCGUAAACGAUGGAUACUAGGUGUAGGGGGUAUCAACUCCCCCUGUGCCGCAUUUAACACAAUAUUUAUCCCGCCUGGGGAGUACGGUCGCAAGAUUAAAACUCAAAGGAAUUGACGAGGGCCCGCACAAGCAGCGGAGCGGGUGGUUUAAUUCGAAGCAACGCUAAGAAUUAUACCUGUACUUGACAUCCCUUGCAUACCCCACAUAUAGGUGAAGCCCUUCGGGGCAAGGAGACAGGUGGUGCAUGGU
rnacentral:rRNA from 1 species